GACGAACGCUGGCGGCGUGCUUAACACAUGCAAGUCGAACGAAGAGCGAUGGAAGCUUGCUUCUAUCAAUCUUAGUGGCGAACGGGUGAGUAACGCGUAAUCAACCUGCCCUUCAGAGGGGGACAACAGUUGGAAACGACUGCUAAUACCGCAUACGAUCUAAUCUCGGCAUCGAGGAUAGAUGAAAGGUUUCCUCUACAUGUAAGCUAUCACUGACGGAGGGGUUUGCGUCUGAUUAGCUAGUUGGGGGGGUAACGGCCCACCAAGGCGAUGAUCAGUAGCCGGUCUGAGAGGAUGGACGGCCAAAUUUGGACUGAGAACCGGCCCAGACUUCUACGGGGGGCAGCAGUGGGGGAUCUUCCGGAAUGGAGGAAAGGCUGGCGGGGCAACGCCGCGUGAGUGAUGACGGCCUUCGGGUUGUAAAGCUCUGUUAAUCGGGACGAAAGGCCUUCUUGCGAAUAGAGAGAAGGAUUGACGGUACCGGAAUAGAAAGCCACGGCUAACUACGUG
rnacentral:rRNA from 1 species